UCCAGUUUAUCCUGCUGGCGGAUACGGCUAUCUGGUUUAUANUUAGGCAUGCAAGUUUAAUAGCAAUAUUGGCGAACUGCUUAGUAACACGUAGCUAACCUACCCUAAAGUCAAGGAUAACCUCGGGAAACUGAGGGUAAACCUUGAUAGGAAACAAUUUCUGUAAUGAUGUGUUUCUGAAACUCGAGCUUUAGGAUGGGGCUGCGGCUGAUUAGCUUGUUGUUGGUGUAAUAGACUAACAAGGCGAUGAUCAGUAAGGGCUCUUAGCGGAGAGGCCCUAAGAAGGAAUCUUAGACACUAUUCCUAGUCCUACGGGGUGCAGCAGCUGAGGAAAUUUUACAAUGCACGAAAGUGUGAUAGAAUAAACCAGAGUGAUUCUCUAUGAGAAUCUUUUGUCUACUGUAAAAAGGUAGACGAAUAAGGACUGGGCAAGACCGGUGCCAGCCGCCGCGGUAAUACCGGCGGUCCAAGUCGUAUCCACAUUUAUUGGGUCUAAAACAUUCGUAGCUUGUUU
rnacentral:rRNA from 1 species